UGCCGAAGCUGCGGAUUUGACAUUAGUCAAGUGGUAGGGGAGCGUUCUGUAAGCCGAUGAAGGUGUGUUGAGAAGCAUGCUGGAGGUAUCAGAAGUGCGAAUGCUGACGUGAGUAACGACAAAACGGGUGAAAAACCCGUUCGCCGAAAGACCAAGGGUUCCAGUCCAACGUUAAUCGGGGCUGGGUGAGUCGACCCCUAAGGCGAGGCCGAAAGGCGUAGUCGAUGGGAAAAUGGUUAAUAUUCCAUUACUUCUGUGUAAUGCGAUGAGAGGACGGAGAAGGCUAAAUCAGCCUGGCGUUGGUUGUCCAGGUGAAAGGAUGUAGGCAUGUAUCUUAGGCAAAUCCGGGGUACUCUAUGCUGAGAUCUGAUAGCAAGCUGUACUUGUACAGCGAAGUGGUUGAUGCCAUGCUUCCAGGAAAAGUCUCUAAGCUUCAGUUACACAGGAAUCGUACCCGAAACCGACACAGGUGGUCAGGUCGAGUAGACCAAGGCGCUUGAGAGAACUCUGCUGAAGGAACUAGGCAAAAUGGUACCGUAACUUCGGGAGAAGGUACGCUGUUGUUGGUGAUGGAACUCGCUUCCUGAGCUGACGACAGCCGCAGAAACCAGGCCGCUGCAACUGUUUAUUAAAAACAUAGCACUCUGCAAACACGAAAGUGGACGUAUAGGGUGUGAUGCCUGCCCGGUGCUGGAAGGUUAAUUGAUGGGGUUAGCGUAAGCGAAGCUCUUGAUCGAAGCCCCAGUAAACGGCGGCCGUAACUAUAACGGUCCUAAGGUAGCGAAAUUCCUUGUCGGGUAAGUUCCGACCUGCACGAAUGGCAUAAUGAUGGCGGCGCUGUCUCCAGCAGAGGCUCAGUGAAAUCGAAAUCGCUGUGAAGAUGCAGUGUACCCGCGGCUAGACGGAAAGACCCCGUGAACCUUUACUGCAGCUUGACACUGAACUUUGACCUUACUUGUGUAGGAUAGGUGGGAGGCUUUGAAGCUGGAACGCUAGUUCCAGUGGAGCCGUCCUUGAAAUACCACCCUGGUAAUGUUGAGGUUCUAACUCUGUCCCGUGAUCCGGGACGAGGACCGUGUCUGGUGGGUAGUUUGACUGGGGCGGUCUCCUCCUAAAGAGUAACGGAGGAGUACGAAGGUGCGCUCAGCGUGGUCGGAAAUCACGCGUAGAGUAUAAAGGCAAAAGCGCGCUUAACUGCGAGACCCACAAGUCGAGCAGGUACGAAAGUAGGUCUUAGUGAUCCGGUGGUUCUGUAUGGAAGGGCCAUCGCUCAACGGAUAAAAGGUACUCUGGGGAUAACAGGCUGAUACCGCCCAAGAGUUCAUAUCGACGGCGGUGUUUGGCACCUCGAUGUCGGCUCAUCUCAUCCUGGGGCUGAAGCAGGUCCCAAGGGUAUGGCUGUUCGCCAUUUAAAGAGGUACGCGAGCUGGGUUUAGAACGUCGUGAGACAGUUCGGUCCCUAUCUACCGUGGGCGCUGGAAAUUUGAGAGGAUCUGCUCCUAGUACGAGAGGACCAGAGUGGACGAACCUCUGGUGUACCGGUUGUGACGCCAGUCGCAUCGCCGGGUAGCUAUGUUCGGAAGGGAUAACCGCUGAAAGCAUCUAAGCGGGAAGCCUACCUCAAGAUAAGAUUUCCCUAGGACUUUAUGUCCUCUAAAGAGCCGUUCGAGACUAGGACGUUGAUAGGUUGGAUGUGGAAGCAUAGUGAUAUGUGAAGCUGACCAAUACUAAUUGCUCGUGAGGCUUGACU
rnacentral:rRNA from 1 species